AAGCGUGUAGCUUAAUUGGUGAGAGUGGUUGUUGUUUAAUCAAUGGUGCAGGUUCGAUUCCUGUCACGC
rnacentral:tRNA from 1 species